CGCCCGGUGUCAACCGCCCGGCGGGGGCGCGCGGGGCCCAGUAGCCGGCAGGAAGCGGCCCCGCCCUUCGCGUGAGGCCUUGGGGCCGGGUCGGGAGCCUGGCUGCGCGCUCGCACUUGACCUGCAUCCGGGUUUUCUUGUUCCGCGCAGGUUGGGACCUGGGACCUGGGACCCUUUGCUGCAGUACUUGCACCUGGACGAAUAUCUCCUCGACCAGCAGAAUACAAGAAACUCUAAGGAACUAAAAAUAACUGCCCACAUGUGCAGUUGGGGCAAAAUAUGAACAAUGAGCAAGGUAUGAUGGGUGCCACAUGCAUGUGAGCAGAGGAGUUAAAAGCAACGUGUGUGCAGCGUUCUUUGCACAUAGCGUUCCUGAUGUCCUCAUCAGGCGUGCUCAACGCAAAUCCUAGGAAGGAGGCAACGGACAAGGAUCCCCAUCACGUCCUUCUUACACGUGUUACUUCCCUGUAUCAGCCUAUCAGACAACCACAUCCGCUGAAAAUGACGACCUAGAUGGAAAGGGAAAGCUCAGGCCACCCACAGCUCCUUCUCUUUUUAUUUCUUUACUCAUCAAUAAGCUGAAGGCUGAGAAUGUUGGUAGGAUAUGUGUACACCCAUUAAGAAAUAAAAACAGUUGGAAAAAA